rnacentral:rRNA from 1 species
GGGUCAGUAGGUUGGUCGUGCCACCGGUACGUACUGGUCUCACUGAUUCCUCCUUCCUGAAGAACCGUAAUGCCAUUAAUUUGGUGUUGCGGGGAAACAGGACUGUUACUUUGAAAAAAUUAGAGUGUUUAAAGCAAGCUAACGCUUGAAUACAUUAGCAUGGAAUAAUGAAAUAGGGCGAUCGAUCCUAUUUUGUUUGUUUCUAGGAUUGACGUA